AACUUCGGGCUCUGUCAGCCGGUCCGCCUUCUUGGUGUGUACUUGUUUGACGGAGCCUUACCUCCUGGUGAACGGCGAUGUCCUUUACUGGGUGUCGUCGCAAACCAGGACUUUUACUUUGAAAAAAUUAGAGUGUUCAAAGCAGGCCUUUGCCCGAAUACAUUAGCAUGGAAUAAUAAAAUAGGACGCGCGUUCCCAUUUUGUUGGUUUCUGAGAUCGCCGUAAUGAUUAAUAGGGAUAGUUGGGGGCAUUUGUAUUCCGUCGUCAGAGGUGAAAUUCUUGGAUUGCCGGAAGACAAACUACUGCGAAAGCAUUUGCCAAGGAUGUUUUCAUUGAUCAAGAACGAAGGAAGGGGGAUCGAAAACGAUUAGAUACCGUUGUAGUCUCUUCUGUAAACUAUGCCAAUUGGGGAUCGGUACAGGAUUUUUAAUGACUGUAUCGGCACCCGAAGAGAAAUCUUUAAAUGAGGUUCGGGGGGGAGUAUGGUCGCAAGGCUGAAACUUAAAGGAAUUGACGGAAGGGCACCACCAGGUGUGGAGCCUGCGGCUUAAUUUGACUCAACACGGGGAAACUCACCAGGUCCAGACACAAUAAGGAUUGACAGAUUGAUAGCUCUUUCUUGAUCUUGUGGUUGGUGGUGCAUGGCCGUUCUUAGUUGGUGGAGUGAUUUGUCUGGUUAAUUCCGAUAACGAACGAGACCUUAACCUGCUAAAUAGACCGGCCGGCUUUGGCUAGCUGCUGUCUUCUUAGAGGGACUAUCAGCGUUUAGCUGAUGGAAGUUUGAGGCAAUAACAGGUCUGUGAUGCCCUUAGAUGUUCUGGGCCGCACGCGCGCUACACUGACAGAGCCAGCGAGUCUACCACCUUUGCCGGAAGGCAUGGGUAAUCUUGUGAAACUCUGUCGUGAUGGGGAUAGAACAUUGCAAUUAUUGUUCUUCAACGAGGAAUACCUAGUAAGCG
rnacentral:rRNA from 1 species